rnacentral:rRNA from 1 species
AUGCAUGUCUAAGCAGAAGCCGAACAAUGGCAAAGCCGCGAAUGGCUCAUUACAACAGCCGUCGUUUCUUGGAUCUCUUAUUUUACUUGGAUAACUGUGGUAAUUCUAGAGCUAAUACACGCACUAAAGCUCCGACCUCACGGGACGAGCGCAUUUAUUAGAACAAAACCAAUCGGGUUUCGGCCCGUCCGUUGGUGACUCUGAAUAACUACGCCGAUCGCACGGUCUCGUACCGGCGACAUAUCUUUCAAGUGUCUGCCUUAUCAACUUUCGAUGGUAGUUUAUGUGCCUACCAUGGUUGUAACGGGUAACGGAGAAUAAGGGUUCGACUCCGGAGAGGGAGCCUGAGAAACGGCUACCACAUCCAAGGAAGGCAGCAGGCGCGCAAAUUACCCACUCUCGGCACGAGGAGGUAGUGACGAAAAAUAACGAGACGGAUCUCUUUGAGGCCCGUUAUCGGAAUGAGAACAAUUCAAAUCCUUUAACGAGGAUCUAGCGGAGGGCAAGUCUGGUGCCAGCAGCCGCGGUAAUUCCAGCUCCGCAGGUGUAUAUCUAUGCUGCUGCGGUUAAAAAGCUCGUAGUUGGAUCUGCGUGCUCGGAACUGGUUGGCUCACUGAGUUUAAACUGGUCUCCGGCGCUUUAUCGGCUGGUUUUCCCUUGAUGCUCUUAACCGGGUGUCUUGGG